rnacentral:lncRNA from 10 species
GAGGGCUGGCUGGGAAUCCCCUUGGGGGUCGACUCCCAGAGUCCCUUCCAGAUUGAAGCUGGCCCAGGCCCCACCCUGGCAUCGUCAGCGUGGCCUCUCCUCCUACCACUGCACCUGGACCACUCCCACUCCUAACCCCCUUUACCCUAUAAAUGGAACCACACAGCACGCACUCUUUGGGGCCUGGACCUCCCAGAACUGGCGGCAAGAGCCUUGGGGACCACAACCGAGACGGCAGGUACACAGCACACAUAUACCUGAAAUAAACCUCAGCACCAUUCAUCCUCAUGCCACCAUUCUGACUCUUCUGGAGAAAAGGAAACCCCACACUCAGCACUGCUUCUCCCACUAAAGUUGUGCGGCCCAAAACAGUAGCUACACAUGUGGCUAAUGAGCACUUGAAAUCAGGCCAGUACAGGUUGAGAUGUUCUGUAAGUGCACAGUACGUGGCAGCGGCGUAGUAUCUUCUUAAAAGAUUUUUUGGGCUGGGCACGGUGGCUUUCGCCUGUAAUCCCAGCACUUUGGGAGGCCGAGGCAGGCGGAUCACGAGGUCAAGAAAUCAAGACCAUCCUGGCCAACAUGGUGAAACCCCAUCUCUACUAAAAAUACAAAAAUUAGCUAGGCGUGGUGGUGCACGUCUGUAGUCUCAGCUACUUGGGAGGCUGAGGCAGGACAAUCGCUUGAACCUGGGAGGCAGAGGUUGCAGUGAGCCGAGAUCUCGCCACUGCACUCCAGCCUGGCAACAGAGCAAGACUUCGUCUCAAAAAAAAAAAGAUUUUUUUGAAUCUUAUUGAUAAUUUUAUAUUGAUUCACAUCAAAAACAUAAUAUUUUAGAUAUACUAAAUUCCAUCUGUUAAAAUUAAUUCCACCUGGUUUUUUUUUAGUUCUUUUUGUUUUGUUUGUUUGUUUGUUUGUUGUUGUUGUUGUUUUGAGACCGAGUCUCACUCUGUCACCCAGGCUGGAGCGCAGUGGUGCAGUGGUGCAGUGGUGCGAUCUUGGUUUACUGCAACCUUUGUCUCCCAGGUUCAAGCGAUUUUCCUGCCUCAGCCUCCCGAGCAGCUGAUACCACAGGUGCUCGCUACCACGCCUGGCUAAUUUUUGUUUCUUGUUUUUUGAUACAGGAUCUCACUCUGUCACCUAGGCUGGAGUGCAGUGGUGUGAUCAUGGCUCACUGCAGCCUCGACCUCCCAGGCUCAAGCAAUCCUCCCACCUUGGCCUCCCCAGUAGCAUCACACCCAGCUAAUUUUAGUAUUUUUUGUAGAGAUGGGGUUUUGCCAUGUUGCCCAGGCUGGUCUCAAACUCCUGGGCUCAA